rnacentral:rRNA from 1 species
GAUGAACGCUGGCGGCGUGCCUAAUACAUGCAAGUAGAACGCUGAAGGAGGAGCUUGCUCUUCUGGAUGAGUUGCGAACGGGUGAGUAACGCGUAGGUAACCUGCCUGGUAGCGGGGGAUAACUAUUGGAAACGAUAGCUAAUACCGCAUGACAACAGUUAUUGCAUGAUAACUGUUUAAAAGGGGCAACUGCUCCACUACCAGAUGGACCUGCGUUGUAUUAGCUAGUUGGUGAGGUAACGGCUCACCAAGGCGACGAUACAUAGCCGACCUGAGAGGGGGAUCGGCCACACUGGGACUGAGACACGGCCCAGACUCCUACAGGAGGCAGCAGUAGGGAAUCUUCGGCAAUGGACGGAAGUCUGACCGAGCAACGCCGCGUGAGUGAAGAAGGUUUUCGGAUCGUAAAGCUCUGUUGUAAGAGAAGAACGAGUGUGAGAGUGGAAAGUUCACACUGUGACGGUAUCUUACCAGAAAGGGACGGCUAACUACGUG